AUUGAACGCUGGCGGCAUGCUUUACACAUGCAAGUCGAACGAGUGGCGUACGGGUGAGUAAUGUCUCGGAACGUGCCUCCUGCUGGGGGAUAACUGCCCGACACGUUAGCUACUACCGCAUACCAUCCGAUCUGCCGAUGUCUGAUUAGCUUGUUGGCGGGGUAAAGGCUCACCAAGGCGACGAUCACUAGCGGGUCUGAGAGGAUGACCAGCCAAACUGGGAGUGAGACACGGACCAGACUCCUACGGGAGGAAGCAGUGGGGAAUAUUGGACAAUGGGCGCAAGCCUGAGCCAGCCAUGCCGCGUGUGUGAAGAAGGCCUUCGGGUUGUAAAGGACGUUUGUCAGGGAAGCGGUACCUGAAGAAUAAGCAACGGCUAACUCCGUGCCAGCAGCCGCGGUAAUAC
rnacentral:rRNA from 1 species